ACACACACACACACACACACACACACAGGCCUACACACAAAUUCCCUCAUAAAUUGUCGCUCAAGCUGUACAUACGUGCAGAGUAUCAGAUGUUAUUUACUGGUGAUUUUAAGCCCACGCGUCAAAAGAGUGUCGUGUCGGUUCAUCUGGGGUGUUUUCGAGUGAUUGGAGUCGCCAUUGACAGAACAAGCAGCGGGGAAAGUGUUUCAGAAGGCCGCCGUUUGUGUGUGUUUGUUGUUUUUCCCCCCCGCUGGAUUGUGUGGUACACUAGAGCCCCCUGUAGGCGGACGGAGGAACUGCAGCCAACACAUUUCAGCUGUAGCAUAUCAGGCUCUGUGUCUGCUGGAAUCUUCUGGAUUUCUCAUGAUCAUCAUCAGGCCGGGUUUCCUCGGCAGGGCAGAGUUCAGCAUCCAUUCACUGAGGUCUAAAUGAUGAGACGAGCGAGAGAGUGCGCAGGGUUACCAGCAAACACGGCUCACCUACUGUGACUUGGCGCACCCCACUGGACAGCUGGAGACUAUGGGAGAAUACAACCAGCCAAAGCCUGACAGAGAGAGAGUAAGAGACUACUGAGACUCAGCAGAGAUCAAUGCUGGACCACAUCAGGCUCACUGACCCCCUCUGCUGGAGAGCGACACAUCCCACAAUGCACCACAGGCAGAGGUCAAGCAAUCCUGUCAAAUCACAUUGUGCUAAUGUUCAGACACUUACAUUACAUAUUUAGUGUUCUUAACACCAUGACAUAUACCUAGUUAAACAGGUAGCACUUGACAAUAAGAUUGUCUAUGUUAACAAUAUUUUAAUUCAAUUAUUUUGCUUUAAUUUGAUCAAAACAAUUAAUUUUGAUUUAAUUUUAUCGCCGGUUUGGUCCCUAUAAACAACACCUUAAAAUUUCUGAUUUUGACUGUAAUGUAAUGUAACGAUGUGCCCUUUAAAGCCAAUUCAGAACAAUUAUUAUUGCCAAACUCUCUAUACAAAAAAACUCAAACUGAAUUGAUUAUAACUUUAGUAUGCUCAUCAGCCAAUCAGAAUCAUUCAACAGCCCCAUACAAUAAACAAAUCUAAUUCGA
ensembl:processed_transcript